rnacentral:rRNA from 1 species
UACGAAGGGGGCUAGCGUUGUUCGGAAUUACUGGGCGUAAAGCGCGCGCAGGCGGUCUUCCAAGUCAGUGGUGAAAGCCCGGAGCUCAACUCCGGAAUUGCCAUUGAAACUGUUAGACUUGAGGACGAGAGAGGUGAGUGGAAUUCCCAGUGUAGAGGUGAAAUUCGUAGAUAUUGGGAAGAACACCGGUGGCGAAGGCGGCUCACUGGCUCGUUUCUUACGCUCAGGCGCGACAGCGUGGGGAUCAAACAGG